rnacentral:rRNA from 1 species
UACGGAGGGAGCUAGCGUUGUUCGGAAUUACUGGGCGUAAAGCGCACGUAGGCGGCUAUUCAAGUCGGGGGUGAAAGCCCGGGGCUCAACCCCGGACCUGCCCUCGAAACUAGAUAGCUAGAAUCUUGGAGAGGCGAGUGGAAUUCCGAGUGUAGAGGUGAAAUUCGUAGAUAUUCGGAAGAACACCAGUGGCGAAGGCGACUCGCUGGACAAGUAUUGACGCUGAGGUGCGAAAGCGUGGGGAGCAAACAGG